rnacentral:tRNA from 1 species
GGUAUUGUGGCUCAGUGGUAGAGUGUUUGCUUAGCACGUGCAAGGCUCUGGGUUCGAGUCUCAGCACCA